rnacentral:rRNA from 1 species
AUGAUUCCGGCCGCCGCGCUGACGGCGUUGCUGCUGCAGCUCUGCCUCUCAGCGGCAGCAGCUCAGGUUACGCCAGGCGCAGGCUCGCGCUGCCCAGCCAGCUGCGGCGCCGUGCGCGUGCCGUACCCGUUCGGCAUCGGCGACGGGUGCCACUGGCCGGGGUUCAACCUCACCUGCGACCGGACGCGCGCCGGAGAGCCGCGGCUGCUCGUCGGCACCGGCCUCCAGGUCGUGGGGAUCUCCCUGGCCAACUCCACGGUGCGGGUCGUGGACAGCGCGGGCCAGGUCACGCUCAACUUCACCGGGCCCGGAGGCCUCGACGGCACCGGUGCGUGGGGCGGCCUCGGCGCCGCCAGCCCGUACGUGCUGUCGGAGUGGCGCAACCAGUUCGUCGUCACGGGGUGCAACGUGCAGGCCACGCUCGUCGGGGACGGCGGCGGCGGCAACGUCAUCAGCGGCUGCUCCUCCUUCUGCUCCAUCAACGACAAGUGGACCGGCGCCGUCACCAACUCGACCUCCACCGGCGACGGCGCCACCGCGUGCUCCGGCAUCGGCUGCUGCGAGACGCCCGUCCCCAUCGGCCGCCCCUCCUACCGCGUGGAGAUCAAGUCGCUGGACUCGAGCAACGAGCACGCCGACAGGCUCCCCAUCGCGGUGCGCAUCGCCGAGAGAGGGUGGUUCGACGGCGCCUCCGCCGCGCUCCUCAACGACUCGCCCGGGUACUCGCCCUCGCGCCGGCCGGCGGUGCCCGUCGUCCUCGAGUUCGCGGUGGACUCGAAGCCGGUGGAGCUGCCGGGAGUGGCAACGUCGGGCUGCCCCGUGGACGCACGGAGGAGCGCGUGCCGGAGCAGCCACGCCUCCUGCCACAACGUCUCCGGCAACUACCGCAGCGGCUACGUGUGCCGGUGCCUGGACGGCUACCAGGGCAACCCAUACCUCGCCGGCGGAUGCCAGGACGUCGACGAGUGCACGCUGCCGGGCAUGUGCUUCGGCGAGUGCACCAACACGGCCGGAGGGCACCUAUGCCGGUGCCCGCGAGGCGCCCAAGGCGACCCCCGCAUAAGAAAUGGCUGCAUCAGAUCUUCUCUAGGUUUAAGUGUCGGCAUUGGAGUUGGCAGUGGAGCAGCCCUUCUAAUCAUGGUACUUGGUGCUAUUUUGAUGACUCGAAAGAUGAAGCAACGGAGGGCAAAAAUGCUCAAGAAGAAAUUCUUCAAGCAAAAUCGAGGGCAUCUGUUGCAACAGUUGGUGUCUCAGAAGGCGGACAUCGCCGAGAGGAUGAUCAUCCCCUUGGUGGAGCUACAAAAGGCAACAAACAAUUUCGACAAAGCUCGUGAGAUCGGUGGAGGAGGGCAUGGCACGGUCUACAAAGGGAUCAUGUCGGACCUGCACGUCGUGGCGAUCAAGAAGUCCAAGGUCGCGAUCCAGAGGGAGAUCGACGAGUUCAUAAAUGAGGUAGCCAUCCUCUCGCAGAUCAACCAUCGAAACGUGGUGAAGCUCUUUGGGUGUUGCCUUGAGACGGAGGUGCCUUUGCUGGUGUACGAGUUCAUCUCCAAUGGGACCCUUUACCAUCAUCUUCAUGUCCAAGAACCCGCGCCAUCCCUGACAUGGAAAUAUCGGGUAAGGAUCGCAACCGAAACUGCGAGAGCUCUCGCCUACCUUCACUCGGCCGUGUCGUUCCCUAUAGUCCACAGGGAUAUCAAGUCCCAAAACAUUCUGUUAGAUGGCACUCUCGUAGCAAAGGUGUCAGACUUUGGAGCUUCGAGGUGCAUUCCGGUCGAUCAAACAGAGACUGCAACCGCUAUCCAAGGGACAUUUGGGUACCUAGAUCCCUUGUACUUCUACUCGGGACAGCUCACCGAGAAGAGCGACGUUUACAGCUUCGGUGUCCUUCUCAUGGAGCUUUUGACAAGGAAAAAACCAUGCUCAUAUCGGUCGUCCGAGGAGGAAACCCUUGUCUCAUAUUUCACUGCUUCGCUAGCAGCAGGCGAGCUGGUUCACGUGCUAGAUCCUCAAGUCGUUGAAGAAGGCGGCAAGGAGGUUGAAGAGGUGGCUGUGCUGGCAGUGGCAUGCGUGAGGAUUGAAGGAGACCACCGGCCAACCAUGAGGCAAGUGGAGUUGACACUUGAGAGCCUUGGGGCCUCACAUGAUAGCUUUGUGAUGCAUGACAUGGAUGUGCCCAAGUAUCCAGUGAUUCAGGGUACAAAUAUGGAGGAAACGAGCCGGCAGUAUAGCUUGGAAGCAGAGUACUUGUUGUCAUCAAGGUAUCCUCGGUAG